GGGCGAAGGCGAGGCUUCCGGACGAUGGGAGGACCGGGAGCUGCCUCUGCCGCGUUAAGCGGUCCGAGGAAAUUUCAGUCAGCCAUGCAGUCCUGACCGCCGCCUAGCCAGUCUCAGGUAUGUCUUUAUCGGUAGCGUGAGUACGGACCAAUACACUGAGUCACUGGAUUAGCUCAAUAGCAGAAUGGAGAUGGCAGAGGAAGAAGCCGGAGAAUUUAAAGAAAAACAUACAGAGUGGAAGAAAGCAGAAUUGGACAGUGAGAUGUCCAGAUUUCACUGGACAUGAGUCUCAGUGAAAUCCACGGCCCAGCACAUGGAGCUCUGAAGCUGGGACAACCUGCCAGAAUUGCCCGGGAUUGAGGCAAUCAGGGAAGGCUUUAUACCCCAUGUCACUGAUGCAUCAUUGGAUGUGAACUGGGCUUUCUGCUAGCAACACUCCCUGCAACUGGAGGAACACAUUCUUUAGUCUGGAAGUCCGAUCCGGGUGCCCCGCAGUAUGUACUAUUUUUACAUAUUCUACUGGUAAAUUAUUUACCCUUCAGAGGGUAGGUACUGUCUGGAUUUGCUCUCCUCUGUUAUUAAUGACAUUUGAAAAAAAAUAGUGAAAUUGUUUUAUUUGAUCUCUCCAACCACAUGUUGAGUUUCUCAUGAGAAAGGAUGCUGUAUUCACCACCAUCUAUUUCUUCGGUCUCCGCUUUUCCAGCUGAACCCGAGAGCGAGCAAGCAACGCAGCUGGGGGCGUGACCAGCGUGAGAUGAAAACUGCGCAUACUCAGUAACUCAGCGCAAUAGGAGGGGGCGAACCCCAGCGUCCUCGGUUCCCACAGUGACAGAGCCUCACUCUGGUCUUAACCACCAGCGUUUCCCUUCUUAGCUCCGGGCCCACCCAGGAAAGACAAAAAUACACCUCCAGUCAUCUGACCCCUUGCAGCGGAAGAUGAAGGACUCCACUCCAAACACGGUGAUCUUGGUAAACGCAGGAGUCGGGGGAGCGUGCAAGACCCUGACAUUUUUCCGGCUUUCCCCGCCCCCAGACCUAGCCCAGCCAACUAGACCGCCAUCAGCCAGCCUUCCCUUUAGAAGGGUAGUGUGCUCUGGUAUAAGAUUUGAUAGGUGAUUAAAUAUAAGGAAAACCAGUUUAACCACCUACGCUACCUUCAAGAACUAUCCCCCACUAGCCAGCUUUAAUAUAUAAAUUGUCUGGAAAGUCAUCACUUGGGGACUUGAAGGCCCAUUAGUCUACAAGUCACCCAGGAGGGGUGUCCCCUUGUGAAGGGAUGUGUAUGUCCUAAGAGGGACACAGGGCUGGGAGGCAAGAGAUCCAGGCUCUGGACUGGCCGUUAUCCAGCUUUGUGAUCCGAAACUCUUUGAAGAGUGGUUUUUGGAAUAUGAUGGAGCUGUGGGCUUCUCUAGCCUCUGGGUCUCGGCCUUGUACGACUGCAUUUCGUUAUCAAUUCACCCCUGGCAGCUGCUCGGCAGAACUGGCCAUUCACACCAGGAAACUGAAGGAAGGAUGAAAGAGUGUGCUUGUGGAAGAGACUAAAGGAAUGGCGCCACGGUAGAGUUUUGGUAGGUCUUGUAUAGCACUGCAGACACAACAUAUGCUGGCCUAAGCACUCGAAUUUCUUUGUUUCUGCCUAGCCAGGGUAAUAGUCCAGAAAACCAGAAUCUUAAAAUCGAAUUCAGAAAAGAAUUGACUCAUGUAUAAAACGAUUACAGACUAACCCAAUAUUUAUCUCUAGGUCUCAGAACAUUAGAAUCUGGAGCUGGCAAAUAAUCUGGUGUGUGGAGACUGCAGGCUUCAAGGCAGUGUUUACAGAUAGACUUGACAAGGAACAAAACCAGAUCUAUUUUAUUUAUUUUAUUUUUAUUUUUUUGAGACGGUGUCUCACUC